GAGGCCGAAGCGGGUGGAAGAAGAAGAUUCGGGGUCUUGGGAGUCGAAGGUGGGGGAGAGGAAGAGGGACUUGUAGGUGUAGGAGAAGGAGUGGAGAGGGAUGCAGUGCUGGGAGAGGAGGGCGAAGUAGGCGUUGGAGGGGUCGUCGAGGAGGGCGGUGGCGAGGAGGCGGCGGGUGGCGGAGAUUAGGGUAGGGGAGGAGCGGAAGGUGCGUUUGGAGGAGAUGAAUUUGUUGAUGAAAAGAGGGGACAAAGGGCGGGUGAGGUUGACGGAGGGGUCGGCGUGGAUGUAGAUGUUGAAAAGGUUGGAGGGGGUGUUGGAGAAGAACUGGUCCCAUAAGGAGGAGAAGUGGAGAUCGGAGUUAGUGAGGAAGAGAAAGGCGAUUUUAAGAGAGGG
rnacentral:lncRNA from 1 species